rnacentral:rRNA from 1 species
AACGAACGCUGGCGGCAGGCUUAACACAUGCAAGUCGAACGGGUGUAGCAAUACAUCAGUGGCAGACGAGUGAGUAACACGUGGGAACCUUCCUAGGGGUACGGAACAACUCAGGGAAACUUGAGCUAAUACCGUAUACGUCCGUGAGGAGAAAGAUUUAUCGCCCUUAGACGGGCCCGCGUCGGAUUAGGUAGUUGGUGGGGUAACGGCCUACCAAGCCUACGAUCCGUAGCUGAUCUUAGAGGAUGAUCAGCCACACUGGGACUGAGACACGGCCCAGACUCCUACGGGAGGCAGCAGUGGGGAAUCUUGGACAAUGGGCGCAAGCCUGAUCCAGCCAUGCCGCGUGAGUGAAGAAGGCCUUAGGGCUGUAAAGCUCUUUUACCAGGGACGAUAAUGGCGGUACCUGGAGAAUAAGCCCCGGCAAACUUCGUGCCAGCCGCCGCCGUAAAAC